rnacentral:rRNA from 1 species
UACGGAGGGUGCAAGCGUUAAUCGGAAUUACUGGGCGUAAAGAGUUCGUAGGUGGUUAAAUAAGUCAGAUGUGAAAGACCUGGGCUCAACCUGGGAAGUGCAUAUGAUACUGUAUAACUAGAGUUUAUUAGAGGAUUGGGGAAUUUCUGGUGUAGCGGUGAAAUGCAUAGAUAUCGGAAGGAACAUCAAUGGCGAAGGCAACAAUCUGGGAUUAAACUGACACUGAGGAACGAAAGCGUGGGUAGCAAACAGG